rnacentral:rRNA from 1 species
GGAAUGAACUUAAGUGGAUUAGUGGCGGACGGGUGAGUAACGCGUGAGUAACCUGCCUUACACAAGGGGAUAGCCGUUGGAAACGACGAAUAAUACCCUAUGAAACUAUCACUUCGCAUGAGGCGAUAGUCAAAGUGUUAGCGGUGUAAGAUGGACUUGCGUCUGAUUAGCUAGUUGGUGAGAAAAAAGCCCACCAAGGCAACGAUCAGUAGCCGGCUUGAGAGAGUGUACGGCCACAUUGGGACUGAGACACGGCCCAGACUCCUACGGGAGGCAGCAGUGGGGAAUUUUGCACAAUGGGGGAAACCCUGAUGCAGCGACGCCGCGUGAUUUAGAAGGCCUUCGGGUUGUAAAAAUCUUUUGUAUAGGAAGAAAAUGACAGU